AUUGCCACAGCCCCUGUCAAAGAAAAAUGUAAAUAGUGGCCAUACCAACUAUAACAUGAACAAAGUGUAUCAAUCAUAAGAAGCCCAACAUUCUAAAUUUCUACAUAAAAACCAGGUAAAAUAUACAUUUCAUGUCAACUUUAUACAUCAUAGCUGUUUCUUGGCCAUAUCAUUCAUUUAUUACAGCUUAGGCACUGAAAAAAAUAACAUACAGAACAAAAACAAAAACACCUGACAACAAGUACAAUUUCCCAACAAUAAAUGGAUUUGAAUGAAGACCUAAUGAAAGAACAUUCUCCAGUGCUGAAUAUAUUAUACAUAACAAAAUACCUAUUUAUAAGCAAUUUAUUUCAUAGCUGUUCAAAAGAAGAAAUAGGAACAAAAGUCCAGCAUCCGUUGGACAAGAAGAAAUGCAAUAGGAUAUCAAGCUUACAUUGCAAAAGUUCCAAUGCCUAGGCUUUAGGUCAGAGUAAAACUAUAGAACAUGUUAAAAAUCUCACAUCAACUGAAAAUAUAACCAAUUAUAGUAAAUAGAUGAGUACAAACCUCACUUUACAAAUCAGUUUUAUAAUAUUGAAUUAGACUUGAAUCUACUUUUUAACAUGAUCAUAGUCUAUCCAAGCAAAGCUUUUUAGACCUAAUGUUCAACUUGCUAUUGGACCACCCAUAAGUAUUUAUACUUAUGCUCGAGAUAUUCAAUCCUUGACAGUGAAUAAGUAUGUUCGAAAGCUCAGAUGCAGAAUCAGUCACAUGGAUCUUCAAUUCAUCCAAAAGAUUGCGUCUGAGUUGGGCCCAAAUGGAAUUUAGUUGACAGUAAAGAAAACACAAAAGUAGUUUCUUAUAACAUGGACCGUACACAGUCAUGACUGCAAGUUGAGGUCAUCAUCAAUCAUGGUUGGAUAGUGUAGGUCUAUGUUAUAAGAAACCAUAUUUGUGUUUCUUUUAGUGUCAACUAAACUCCAUGUUAUAAGAAACUACUUUUCAGUCAUGGUUGUGCAAAGUCCAUGUUACAAGAAACUACUUUUGUGUUUUCUUUUCUGUCAACUAAACUACAUUUGGAUCCAAGCUCACACACAGAACCCAAUUCAGUCAUGGUUGGGUACUGUAGGUCUGUUAUAAGAGUUUAUGUCUUUUAAUUUCAUGAACCUUUUUAUUUCAUAAAAUUAAAGGACAUCAACUUGUUUGUUCAUGUCCAUGUUUUCAUUGUGAACCUCAGAGUAAACGUUGUCUCCUUCCCACAACCAAUUUCGAGGACAAAAUUUCAUCCAUCUUUUAUCGGUUCUAGUAGAUUUUUUUGGUUGAUCCCGAGUACUUUGCAUUUAACUUGAUGGAAUUUUCCAUGAAGGACAACAUAUCUGAAACAAUUUUUACGAACAUGGUCGACAAAUUGUAAUGAUAAAUACAAAAAACUUCUUUUGGCCUAAUACAUGAUCAAUUUGACAUGUAUUAUUAUUGCCCCCUGACAUGGAAGCAGGCUAAAGUACUUCUUUAAAGCAUUUUUUGUCCAUCCAUCUUUAUACACAGUUCAAUGAAAAGUAUUUCAUCAUACGUAUCAUAAGGAUAUAUAUUGGUCUCCUUGAAUAUUAUGGAAAUGUCGAAGAUGAGCACAACCUUCAGUCCUGACUAGGUAUUGUAGGUCCCCUUUACUGUUAACUAAAUUCCAUUUCGAUCCAAACUCAAACGCAAAACAUUAGAAGAAUUAACGAUCCACAUGACCAAAGUUCUGGUGAUCCAAGUGGAUAGCUAGAAACUCGCCUUUGGCUUUUCUUGUGAAAAUAGUUGGAACGUUCUCCAUUAUGGUUCCUAUGUGAACUAUCUGUAGAUAAUGGAGGCUUUAAGUGAACAUGAUAUCUUUGAGUGGUUGUUAAUCCAAAUGAAAAGGAUGGACCUUUGAGUGUUUUUCUAUGGAAAUGAAAAGGAUGGACGUUUUCAAGACUAAUUGUUCUAAUGGAGAAAGAUGGCAGAUGCGUGGUUUGAAACAUGAAUAGUAGGAUCCAUGAUCAUUAAAUGAGAAACCCCGAUGUAUUCCAUUCUUGACAAAUCUCAGCCUCUAUUAUUUUAUAUUUUUUAAAUUGUUAUCUGAAUUAGAAUUUGAGACGUUCCAUUCUGUUCAAUUCAAAAAUGUCAUGAAGAUGUUCAACCUUUUCAUUUCCAUCAAAAACCACUUAAAGGUCAAUCCUUUUCAAUUGGAGUAACAACCACUAAAAGUUAUUCUGCCACUUAAACCCUCUAUUAUGUACAAGUUGUUCACAUAGGAACCACAUCUUCAAUGGUGAAUGUCCCAAAUAAUUUUACAAGGAAAACCAAAGGCUAGUUUAUGUUGGAUCUAUCGAGAAGGGGGGUUCACUUGAAAUAUACAACACCAAUAAGAUUUGAACCCAAACACAUAAAAGAUUGACACCAUUAUCCACCCAAAACCUUAAAACAAUGGAUUAAUAGGUCUUCACCUUUAUAUGUUAUUCUACUUUUUCAUUUUUAUCCAAUAUGGGACUUAGACUCACACUUAGAAUUUUAACAAUCUCCCCCUUCAAGAUUGAGUCCUUUCCACAUUGAUACACUCCCCCUCCAACGGAAGCAUUCGAAUACCUAUUCUGGUACAGCCAAUCUUAAUGGGACACGUUUACCUGAAACACUUUGCCAGGAAGACUUUCGAUACAGGGACCAUUGUACUCAUUUGAACCUAACCUGGCUCUGAUAUCACUUGCUAAGUCUAUCGAGGAAGAGGUUCAUUGAGAAGAUACAACAUCAAUGAGAUAUGAGCCCAACCACAUCCAAAACCUUAAGGCAAUGGGUUAAUGGUUUUUACCUUUAUAUGCUACUCUAUUUUCUCAUUUUUACCCAAUGGUCAAAUAGUAGUCUCCUUGAAGAUUAUAGAAAUGUCAAAGAUAAACUCAACCUUCAGCCAUGACUAGCCAUGACUAGGUACUGUAAGUCCAUGUUAUAAGAAACCACAUUUGUAUGUCCUUUUGUGUCAAUUAAAUUCCAUUUGGUCCAAGCUCAGAUUCAAAACUUAGGAUGAAUUGACGAUCCACACGACCAUAGUUCUAGCCAUCAUACUGGUGCAAUGUAAGUUGGGUGAACCCAUAAACCACAAGUCCUUGGAUUGAAACCAUACUCUGAUACCAUAUUAAGAAAUGGACAUUAAAUGUAACUCAACUCUUCAAAACCGCCUUGUAAGGUAAAGUUUGUACUCAUUUAGAUACUAUAAAUUAGUUUUACCUCUAGUCAAUGUAAGACUUCCAAUAAUUUUAUUUCUGCAUUUGGCGUACAAAAUCAUCACCUUAAUGAUGAAUGCUACAACUGGACUAGACCUAUUGAUACUCCAAAUGUCAAUCUUACUAUGAACAUGGUUAGUAAAUGUUACAAUAUCGGAGCUAAUUGUGUCUUAGAAGUAAAAUAUGCCAUAUCCAUGUAUUAUUAUGUUACUCAAGAAUCUUGUUCUAUAUUAUUUCUUCACUUUGACACCCAUAAUUUAAACAGCAUCUGCCAUCCUCUACAAACAUAUUUUCAGGCAAACUCUCAAUGCAAAACUUCUUUAUUUGGCAUAUAAAAUCAUCACACUACAAGAGUUCCCAUGUUCUCAUUUUAUUUAUUACAAGUUUGUGACCACUUGCCCACACAUUCAAUGAUAUUUUUGACCAAAUUUUCUAUAGACCAAGUUUGCUCUGAAGCCUGUGCACUUUUAUAAAUAGAAGAGCAGUACAAGACAACAGUAACUGUUCAUCCCUCUUCUGUUAACUUUCCAUGAAACAGAAGACAUAGUCAUCACUUCCAAAGCUCGUCAAUUGUUUAAAUGAUGAAAGAUCAUGACAGAAAACAAUCCACAAUCAUAACACCAGAAACAAUUUCUACCUAGGUUACAGCAUUUAAAAAUGUGAAUUUCAAAUUGAAUAAAAUAUAUAAAGCUCAAUAAUUGUAAACAAUAACUAAUAGGCCAUAAAAUACAUACUUGAGCUUUGCCACUGAGUUCUCCACCACAGCAUAAUUGAAUAAAAAGCCAAUAGAAGGGCAGUACCAGCCAUUAUUACAGCUAACCCAAUCAGAUCUCGACCCAAUAUCACAAUCAACCAGGAUCCCCAAAUUAUAAGCACCAAAAUUGGAGAAACAACCACAAUCCAUGCAAAAAGAUUCAGGAAACCGCAGAGCAAAUGGAGUUGAGGACCUUGCAAGAUAUUUGGCCAUUUCCGAGCAAAGAUCCAACUGCAAAUAGAAAGAAAUGAAUAACAAUAGAUGCAAAGAAGCUCGAUAUAGUGUCAAAAGGCAGCCAAGAGACCUAGUGCAACCUUAUGCGUUACGUUCAACAAUCCAACUGCUAUCAUUGUGGAUUCUUCAGACAUUGCAAUAUUAAUUAUUAUAAUUAUAGAAAGAAUGGAGCAGAAUAGGAUUUAUUAAAGAGUUGUUUUGAGUUGUACCUAUUUGUAGCCUAGGGUCCUAGAUAAGCCUUUACCUGUUUUCUACUCUUCUCUCUCUUUCAUUGCAUCUCAUACUAGCACAAGCUCCCUAAAAUAUAUUUUGCUUUCAUUUUAUUUCUCUCAAGUAUAAAAAUGCAUCGAUAACUAUCAACAUAAGCUAUGAAACUAAAAAAUAUCAAAACUCAUAAAAAGUAGACAGAUAAUUUUCUUUCACUAUACUAACUAAUUAUUGUCCUGAACAACAAUAAUAAGUUCAUAUUUAUUUCUUUCUACCCAAUAAUGCCACAAAUGAUAAGGAAUUCCUUUUCAUUAAUAUAAAAACAAUAUACAAGCAAGAAAGAAUUCGGGUGCAAUCAGCUUGAACAUAAUUUCACCCCUACUUUUAUGAGGCAUCCUUUUCUUCUUAGCUCCACAAAUGUCUUCUUCAAGGUGUGUUUAUCUUAAUUAGAGAAGUGCAACUUUCUGUAAUGAGUGUACCAUUACUACUGAAUAUGUUAAUGAGCUAUAGCUAGCUCGUUAGUAACUAACUUUAGUUACAACUGUCUACAAAUUUUGUUUCUAAUUCAUAGGAAUCCCGUGGUGCUAUGUGUGUGUGUGUGUAUAGUUGGAUCCUCAUCACUGCAAGUUUGAGUUAAGUUUUAGCACAAACCCUGAAACCUAGAUGCCUCUGAAUGCAUCAUCCAUCAACACCUUUCUCUGCUAAGGAAUCUUCUCCAGUGUUGUUGUUGGCAGUUAUAUUUUCAAACUAUUUCCAAAAAACAUGAAUAUAAGAAUUGGUUGAUUUCGUGCUGGUAAGUUGAACCAAUAAUCAAAGGCCACAUAACGUUCUAAUCAAUCCAUUACUUACACCAACAUUUCUCACACCUGAAGAGCCUAUAUCUAAUGGGAGUAAAAGAACAGUUGCUUCUUUCUAGGUUACAAUCUUGAUUACUCAAAAUAUGUUUCCUCCAAUUUUUCGAUCAAUGUUCUCAAUGGCAGAUGGCAAAACAUGGAGAAGGAAACAAAUUUCUGACACAUAAACACUAUUACAGCAUAUGGCACCACCAUAACAAACCUCCCUUCACAAAUUGCAUAUGGCAAUUGACAAAAGUUCCACACACAAUUCCACCAUGACAACAUUUAACAACAUUGAAUCAGAUGCAACAAAUCAUGGCAAUUAUGAGAUAAAAAUUCAACCAUAUUUCCACCUUCACCUGAACACAAAGGCCAAAUAAUUUUGUGCUGAACUUCAAAACACGAUGCUUUAAGAUCAAAUCAUUUUGAGUAUCUUCUAGGAAUCAACCCCUAUUUGUCACUCUCAUUGCAAUUUGUGAUACAAUUUAACCAAAGGAGUGACUCAAUGAAUUUAAAAGCCAACUGAAAAGUAUGAAUCUAUUGUUACCUUGGUUAGCAAUAGAAUUGAUCCAAGGCCAAUUUAAUAGUGAUACCAAGUCAUAUCGCUAGAGGUUUGUCUUGAAAAUUUUCAAAAGAAAACUACAAAUAUGGUAAGAGUGGUAAAAUCCCAUUUUCUUUCAGAAACAUCAUCACAAACCAGUAUUGCACAACACCUUGUCUCAAAUGAUCACAAGAGUCACUCUGGAGGCCUCAGAUUCCUUGGUGGUCAUAAACAUAAACUCUAUUCAAUACCAACUCUUUUUCACAUUUGGUCAUGAUGUUUCUAGUUGUCAUAAUGAUUUAAAUCAAAGGUUAGGUCAGAGUCAGACAUACAAUGAGAUUGCAUUACUUUCCCAAGGAUUUCUAAAAGCUUAAGUUAAUCGUUGAAAACUUAUGAUGGUUUCAUAUCUAAGUAUCUAACAUUUCCCCGCACAACAUCCAUUGGGCUUGACUUUGAAGCAUAUAAAAUUAUAUGCCUGUCUUGCCUAACACUAAAGUUAAACAUUUUAAAAAAAAAAAUGAAGGUGGAAGUAUGGACUAUUGUCAUGGAUGCUCUAGUAUCAUAUUAGAGAUCAAAUCCCACAGGUUAAAGCAACUUGGUAACCAGUUCAUUUUCUAGCUUCUUUUGCCAAAGCAAUAGCUGGUUAAGAAGGACUAAAACCCUCAUGAUUGGUACUCUAUCCCGGAUAAAUUACAAUUUUAUACAGAAAGAAAAAAAAAAUUGAGUAUCUAAUGUGAAUAUUCCUACGUAACCUAAUGGUAUUCAGAUCCCUAAAAAAGUGAAUAAAAGGGCAGCAUAAUGCAUGAGCUUGCAUCAUUAUGGGGUAUGAGGAAGGGCAGAUUUAAACACAACACAACCUUACUUCAACCAGCAGGAGAUAUUUCCUUGAUUACACCAUGACUACCACGAUGCAAUGCAGCCACCUUAUGGUUGUGCUAAGGCUUACCCUCCUAAAAAGAAGCAAAUAGUCCAAUAAAAUUUGGCAACUGAAACUAAAAAAUAUUAGAGUAUUCUAAAUGGAAGUCUUAUAAUGUAGGAUAAUGUCUAACCUAACUCCACAAAACCAACUUAUGAAAUGAGGGUGGUUUCCCACUUACAUACUAUUUUCAGAUUUUAACUUUAGCAAAAGUGGGACUAGGAAUUUUCCCAGUACAUCCCCUCGCACUCAGCAUUAUUGGUCUUGGUAUGUGCAUGAUAUGAUAGGUGACCCUUCUAAUGGAAUUAUGAUAGAUUCUAAAUUCAUCUUAGAAUAUGGAUUUAGGUAUAAUUCAACCUCACAAAACUAGCUUUUGAAAUAUCUCCCACUUUUAUGUAUAUACACACACAUAUAUAUAUACUUGGAAGAUAAACAGCACAGAUGGAGAAAGACCUCUAUAUAUGGAAUUAUAGAUCCCAUCUGGUAAACCUUCAAAAAUUCAAAAGCAAGAAUCGUUGUUUACCUUGGAGGAAGUAGCAGUUUGAGAGACAUAUUUGGAAAAUUAAUUUUCAUAACUCACAUGAGUCACCCAGCGAAAUGCACAUAUUUGUACAUCAACAGAUACAAUUUUUAAAUGACAUUAGUCUAAUAUUAAUACAAAUAACAUAUAUGGAAUAUAAAGAUAUGUUUAGUCUCAAAUUCAUGAUAUUUCAUUAAAAAUAUACCAUAAACCAUGUCAUUAUAACUUCAGAUUUCUAACCCUGUUACUUAAUAUUCCUUACUUAAGAUUCCAAUAGACAUACUAAAAUUAUAAACCUAACACAUGGGACUAUAGAUUUCAUGAGAAUUUCACAGUUCCAUUCAGGUAGUCCCUUUUUCUACAAAGGAAAAAUCAAUUAAUCACCUAUUUUAGCCCAAAUCAUCAAUAGAUGAAAAAGAUUAUUUUCUAAGUAUAUCACGAUGAACAUUUAAAGACUAGACAGAUCAUUUAAACUUGGCACCCAUCCCCCAAGUAAUACCUCUACCAUAAACACUAGCCUUACAACGUUGCCAACAUGCAUCUUCCCACGGAUGCCGACAAAAUUACUUAAAAGAAUUGCAAAGCAUUCAAUACAAGGAAGCAACAAGCUAGUAAGGCCCCGGUGAUUUCCCACUAAAAGAAUUCCAAACAGCUGGCUCUCACAAUUCAAAAUUGGCACCAAACUGCCACACUUAGCCUACCGCCAUCAAAUCCGAAAAAACACUGCGCCCCAUUAACCCACACUUAAUUCCCAAAGGUGGCUAAUAAGUUACCCAUUUCAGUGACAGUACACAGCAGUCAAUGCCAGUAGAUACAAAAUCAUCAAUCACUUAAAAAUAAGCACUAAUUCAAGUAACAGAAAGCAAGGCACGAGAAAUCAAAAAACAUUAACAGUGCAGCGAGACAAUUCAAUCUUAAAACAACAAAAAAACACAAAGCACCAAGUCAAACCAGGUAAACAGAAACAAUAAUCUGACGAAAUACCUAUAAAUUCGCCAGGGCCUCCAGUUCACAGCCCAAAGGAUGAAGAAGGAAGCCAACCCUAACACCGAGAAGAGGAUCCCGCAAAUCACGCACGCGAGGAGAAGCGCACGGUCCAUGCCUCUUCCUCCCCCUUCACA
rnacentral:lncRNA from 1 species